AUGACCCAAUAGUCCUACACUGACCAUAUAGUUAAUCCUAGCUCCUGACCACGUACAGGAAUAUUAUUAACUCUAUUCAUGACAUCUUAGUAAUAUUAUUUCACUUUAACUUGAUUAUUUUAUUAUGUGUAGGUCUACUAACUAAUAUAUUAACCGUCUACCAGUGAUGAUGAGAUAGCUGAGAAAGUGCACUGCAAGGCCUCCAUACAUUAAUCAUUCAAAAAUGCCUCUAAUACAGAAUAAUUUAUCAUAUCACAUGUUUUUUUCUGAGCCUUCUAUCACUCAAGCCUAGCCCCGACCCCAGAACUGGGAGGUUGCUGACCACCAACAGGUAUUCACCCACUUAUUCUCCUAGAAGUUUAACUACUCAAUACAUCAGUCCUGUUAGCCUCAGGAGUAUCAAUCACCCAAGUACACCAUAGCUUAAUAGAAGAAAUCCGCAAACAUAUACUUCAAGCUCUCUUCAUCACAAUUUCAUCUGGCAUUUCUUUUAUAUUAUUACAAAUCUUAGAACACUUCAAAACAUCCUUUACCAUCUGUGAUGGUGUAAAUGACUCAAUAUUCUUCAUAGUAACAGGCUUCCAAUGACUACAUGUAAUUAUCAGCUCCAACUUCCUUAUCCUUUUCUUCUUAUGUCAACUUAACAUUUAACCACCAUUUUGGUUUUCAAAACCAAAGUUUUUAGGUAACCAAGUUACCUAAUAAUGAUAUUUUACAGAUGUAAUUACUAUUUCUGUACAUUUCUGUCUAUUGA
rnacentral:lncRNA from 1 species